GGGUCAUAUUUGUCCCAAGCUCAUCGAAGGUCUCUCUCGCUGGUGUCUCCCUCCUGCUGGUGUCUCUGGCUAUAUCAUUUUUGCUGGACUGUUCGCGUCUCUCGUAGGAGUGGAAACUGCCGGGCUUGAUAUUCACGAGGAAGAAGGCUUAAUUUUGGAGGCUUAAACUAGAGCUAAAGCAUCCGAUUUGGAAGAAAUGGAGGUUGGAGGUAGCAGUCAUGAUAUCCGAGGGGUCGAAUCUAGACGAAUAUGGAGUAAAAGGGAGGAAGAUGCUUUGCUGCUUAUUUUAGAUGAGGUUGUAACUAGUGGGUAGCGGUGUGAUACAGGAUCAUUCAAGCCUGGCACAAGUGCUAUAAUUGAGAGGCGAUUAACUGAGAUAUGUCCUAAUUCGGGGUUGCGAGCAAAUCCACACAUUGAGUCAAAAUUGAAAAAGUGGAAGAAGCAAUACGGUAUAAUAUACGAUAUGCUAAACAAAAGUGGGUUUGGAUGGAAUGACUCUCUUAAAUGUGUGGAAGUUGAUAGUGAUGAAGUUUGGAAAGCAUAUG